rnacentral:rRNA from 1 species
GAUGGACGCUGGCGGCGUGCCUAACACAUGCAAGUCGAGCGAUUCUCUUCGGAGAAGAGCGGCGGACGGGUGAGUAACGCGUGGGUAACCUGCCCUGUACACACGGAUAACGUACCGAAAGGUACGCGAAUACGAGAUAAUAUGCUUUAGUCGCAUGGCUGAAGUAUCAAAGCUCCGGCGGUAUAGGAUGGACCCGCGUCUGAUUAGCUAGUUGGUAAGGUAAUGGCUUACCAAGGCGACGAUCAGUAGCCGACCUGAGAGGGUGAUCGGCCACAUUGGAACUGAGACACGGUCCAAACUCCUACGGGAGGCAGCAGUGGGGAAUAUUGCACAAUGGGCGAAAGCCUGAUGCAGCAACGCCGCGUGAGCGAUGAAGGCCUUCGGGUCGUAAAGCUCUGUCCUCAAGGAAGAUAAUGACGGUACUUGAGGAGGAAGCCCCGGCUAACUACGUGCCAGCCGCCGCAGUAA